UCUCAUAAACUCUACCUUGGGCUCAGUCUACUUGUUUAUUCUCUUUAACAGGCCCAACCCAACAAAACUUUUUUUCCUCUUUUACUUUGCUUCUUCCCCAACGAUGAUAACGAAGCAUCUUCUUCGAUUUCUUCAAUGCAAAACUGACCAUGAUUCUGACAACGGUAACUCCGGCCAACACCACGUUCGUCAGCGAAUUCUCGGGCAGGCUAAGCUUCUGAACCCGAUGCCUACGAAUCCUCUGUGGCUUUCUCUUUCUCCGUCGAAACCAAAAUCGCCAUUGCUUCGUCCUCGAAGCUAAUCUCUUUCUUUUUUUCCGGCGAUUCCCAUGACGUCGUCCAUCUUUAUUGGUCGACGAUGCUCUCAAGGCUCACCAUAUAAACCGUUGUUUCCUACUUUCACUUUUCUCUCUUGAUAGUGUCGGUUACGAUUUCCGAUUAAACUACUCGACCCCUCAGCGAUUCCUCUGUCGCCAAUCUUCUGUGAUCUUAGUUUUUGAAGCCAUUUCAAGCUUAUCUGACAAACCACUUCGUCUCCUCUGCUGUUCUGAGGACUUCAUGUAACCCUCUCAACCGGAAUCAUCUCUUUCUUUUCCUGUCUCUGAAUCCAAAGAGAUGUGAUGAGCUUUGUGUGUUUGAUAAUGUGAUGAGAGGUAAAGCUAGAGAGUAUUUAUAGACGAGUUCCGAUUAAGUCAAUAAUCUAUUGGUGACCAAGUAAAAUUUAUUUGCAACCUAAACUGAAUUAGAAUCAAAUCUUUUGAAUCGGAUUUUUCAGGAAUAUUCACCAAAUCCGUUUUUAAUACAAUCAUAUAGUUUCUGUUGUCGAGAGAUUGUCGAGAAAAUGGAUUCAAUAUUUUGUGGAGAUUUUUAUGGCAAAUAGUUGAGCAUCAGAUUUGAAA